UACGUAGGGUCCGAGCGUUGUCCGGAAUUACUGGGCGUAAAGAGCUCGUAGGUGGUUUGUCGCGUUGUUCGUGAAAACUCACAGCUCAACUGUGGGCGUGCGGGCGAUACGGGCAGACUAGAGUACUGCAGGGGAGACUGGAAUUCCUGGUGUAGCGGUGGAAUGCGCAGAUAUCAGGAGGAACACCGGUGGCGAAGGCGGGUCUCUGGGCCGUAACUGACGCUGAGGAGCGAAAGCAUGGGGAGCGAACAGG
rnacentral:rRNA from 1 species